GGGUUUCUCGCUUUGAACAGUGUUUUAGAUUAGGUUUUUUUUAUUCCAAUUUUAUCCCUAAAAAUACUUCAAAAACUCGGUAGUGGUGUCCAAAUACCGUCCAUUUGUUGCGCAUCUUUCACACAGCAGAGAGAGGUUAUUCAGUCGACGAGCAGGAUUUAACGUCGGAUCUCCGAGAAGGGGGUGUCCAAAUACCGCCCAUUUGUUGCGCAUCUUUCAUACAACAGAGAGAGGUUCUUCAGUCAACGAGCAGGAUUUAGCGUCGGAUCUCCGAGAAGGUAGUACCAAAUCUGGUGUUUCAUCGACGAGUGCGGCUGGAGUUCACUGACAUCAAUCGAGGUACAUCGUUCUAGAAUUUUACCAAAUGUUGAAGAAGCUUAAAUGCAUUGUUGACUAAAACGGGUGAAGCUGAGAUUUGUUUGGCAAAUUGAUAUUUAUCUGUGAAAUGCUCCAUAUUUUGUCUGAAUCCAUGUAUUUCUUUUAUCUGGUUUGUUGUUCUCUGAAUUACAUAAAGCAUGGCCUCAGUUGUCUUUGUUGCAAUGUCAACCUAUGAUAGUUUGAAAAUUGCUAUAACACUUCAGUGAGCGAAUUUGUAACACUUCAGUUUGAAAAUUUGUAACACUUCAGUUUUCUUUGUUGCAAUGUCAACCUCUGAUAGUUUGAAAAUUUGUUGUGUUCACAGUGAGCGAAUUUGUAACACUUCAGUUUGAUUCUUGGUGGUUUUAUGUAAUGCUGAAAUGCUUAAUGUUUUCUCUCACUAGUUAAUUUGCUUGAUGUACGCAACUACUUUAAUGACCCCUUCAUGAUUUUGAUUUCGUUGAGUAUAUGCUGCUUGGUUUUGGAGAGUUUGUUGAGUAUAAUCAUCAUUUGUAUUGUUCUUGGGUAUAUGCUGCUUGGUCUUGUGUGCAGCCUUGGAAGUAAUAGUAGUUUAUCACAUUCUAUAAAACACAUGUUAUUUGUUUGCAGACUUGUAUUUGCUUUUGUUGGUUGACAUUCAAAAUUCCCCGAGUCGAUGAUGAUAUUGUACUAUGCAUAUAUCUGUUGAUGGAAGAACAAAUUCUCCAUCAACAUUUAAUUUUCCUACUUCUAGCUUAUCAAAUCUUGGUUGGAAUGUCAUCAUGUAAGCGAAAAAGGGGUUCUAACACAUUUGGCAUAAUCGAACGAAUCCCUGAUCAAGUAAGGCAUAUGAAUAAGCUUGUCGGUGUUAACGAUGUAGAUUGUAUUGCAAAUCUACACAUGGAUCGCGAUACAUUCGGCAGUCUAUGCAUUUUGUUGCGCGAUUUAGGUGGAUUAUCAAACAGGAGGCAUAUUAUGGUAGAAGAACAAGUUGCAAUUUUUUUGUCCGUUCUAUCCCACCACAAGAAAAAUAGGGUCCUUAGGUUCGAUUUCUGGCGGUCUGGUGAGACUAUUUCUAGAUUUGUGCACCUGGUCCUAAAGGCAAUUCGGAAUUUGCACGUUGUUUUGCUCGUCAAACUCGUUCCCGUUCCAGCCGACUGUACGGAUAAAAGGUAGAAAUGGUUCAAGGGUUGUUUGGGUGCUCUCGAUGGCACGUAUAUAAACAUGAUUGUGAGCAACGGUGACAAGCUGAGGUACCGGACUCGAAAGGGACAUAUAUCAACCAACACUCUCGCGGUUUGUGAUCGGAAUAUGAAUUUCGUUUAUAUGCUGCCUGGUUGGAAGGAUCCGCAACGGAUUCGCGAAUAUUGCGUGAUGCCUUGACACGAGCGAACGGGCUGAGGGUACCUAAAGGAAGUUAUUAUCUAUGCGACAACGGAUACGCCAAUAGCGAGGGAUUCCUUACUCCGUAUAAGGGGAUUCGCUAUCACCUAAAGGAAUAGGGACCGAACACAGCCCGCCCCCAAAAUGCAAAGGAACUGUUCAAUCUGCGACACGCGAAGGCUCGAAACGUUAUUGAACGUGCUUUCGGAGUCAUGAAGAUGCGUUGGGGGAUUCUGAGAAGUGCCACCUUUUAUCCUAUUAAAACCCAAAACCGUCUAAUCAUGUCGUGUUUUAUUUUGCAUAAUUUCAUCCGUCGGGAGAUGCCUAACGAUCCGUCGGAGCAAGAAUUUGACAAUGCUGCUGCGAACGAUGAUUACGAUGUCGAAGGAGAUAGUGAAUUUAUUGAUGGGAUAGAGGCUUAUCCUCUUUGGAAUGCCGAGAGAGACACAAUUGCCCAAGCGAUGUGGCUUAAUUAUAUGAACAAUACUUGAAUCGGUUUGUGUCAGUGAUGUGUUUAGACGGUUAUACUUGAUAUAUUCUGUGUAUAUUGCUGCUGUUUUUGGAUGUGAAAACUAGUUCGACUGUAUUGAUAUCUAAUUAAGUUUGUUGUGUAGAUGAUAU